GUGGGGAAUAUUGGACAAUGGGCGCAAGCCUGAUCCAGCCAUACCGCGUGGGUGAAGAAGGCCUUUUGGUUGUAAAGCACUUUAAGCGAGGAGGAGGCUACCGAGAUUAAUACUCUUGGAUAGUGGACGUUACUCGCAGAAUAAGCACCGGCUAACUCUGUGCCAGCAGCCGCGGUAAUACAGAGGGUGCAAGCGUUAAUCGGAUUUACUGGGCGUAAAGCGCGCGUAGGUGGCCAAUUAAGUCAAAUGUGAAAUCCCCGAGCUUAACUUGGGAAUUGCAUUCGAUACUGGUUGGCUAGAGUAUGGGAGAGGAUGGUAGAAUUCCAGGUGUAGCGGUGAAAUGCGUAGAGAUCUGGAGGAAUACCGAUGGCGAAGGCAGCCAUCUGGCCUAAUACUGACACUGAGGUGCGAAAGCAUGGGGAGCAAACAGGAUUAGAAACCCCGGUAGUCC
rnacentral:rRNA from 1 species